rnacentral:lncRNA from 1 species
CCUGGUACCAGAAAACACAAACAAACAAACAAAACAAUACAAAAAAAUCUACUACAAAUUGGACUCUGUCCUUGUCUUCUUUCCCACUCGGAUGGAAACUGUGGACAAAGUAUGAAAGCAUUAAAGAACAACAAAGCACACUUUGCCAAUCAUUGCAGUGUCCAAAGCUCCUUCUUCUGUAAGAGAAUCAGAAGAUACAUUUCUUCUCCAAGGUUUGGCACAACUUCUAAUGAGCAAAAUGAUGAGAUUAGACUGGUACCCUCAGUCUUUUUCCAAAUUAUAACAUGUUAAUAUAACCAAUGGAUUAAAUUAGAAAUCAUGAUUUCCAUCCACACAACACUCAAUACACAUAGCUGCUUAGAGGCAACAAUUAUCCUUGGAAAUUAAAGACCAAAACAGCACAGUAUCAUCUAACUAUACCCUCAAUGCAAAUAGUGUUAUCCAAAGAAGCUCCCAGUAAGACAACACAUGUAAAAAAUGUUAAUUUAGAUAGACUGAUAAUUUAAAAACCAACAUAGGCCCCUCUUUUGGAUCAUUUAUGUAAAACUGUUAGUAAGUGUUCCAAGUUUUAACACUUGUCUAUUCAAGACAAAUUACUAAUUUGCUAAAAUUUUAAUUUUUCUUAAUCAGGGAAGUUUGCACCUAGUGGAUCGUCUUUUUUUUUUUUCCUUCCUAAUUAACAUGCUCUUUUCUUUCUGUUUGCCGGAUAUCCCCUACUUAUUCAUUUAUUUUUUGGUUUUUCUUUAUCACUUUGUUUUACAUUUUUUUUUUUAUAAAGCACAUAGUUGGGUUUGUUUUUAAGCCAGUCUGACAGCCUAUGUCCUUCCUUCCUUCCUUCCUUCCUUCCUUCCUUCCUUCCUUCCUUCCUUCCUCUCUUUCUCUCUCUUUCUUUAUUUUUUCUAGAUAUUGGGAAUUGAACCUGGGGCCACUGAACUACAUUCCCAGCCCCUUUUAUUUUGAAUUAGUUAAGUUGCUGAGGCUGGCUUUGAACUUGUGAUCCUCCUGCCUCAGCCUCCUGAGUUGCUGGAAUUAUGGGUGUGCAUCACAACGUCUAGCUCAAUCUAUCUUUUAAUGGAUUAAUUCAGCUCAUUUACAUUUAAUUAUAUUAGUAAUCUAUUCUUCUACGUGUGUUUAUUAUUUGUUUUACAUUGCUGUUUCCUUUUUUAUCCUCUGUCUUAUCUUUACUAGUUUCAUCAAGUUGUCAUUCAUUCCCUUUUACUUGUUGUGAUUUAAUUGGUAUACAACAAACAACACAUUUUAUAGUGUACAAGUUCAUAAGUUUUGAACCUAUGUACAUGGCCUGAAACUACUACAAAAAUCAAGAUAAUAAAUAUAGCUACCUCCUAAAACAUUUCUAGGGCCCUUUUAUAUUUUUUUUCCUCCACUCCCUACUCCCAUC